rnacentral:lncRNA from 1 species
UGUGUGUAUAUAUAUAUACAUAUUAUAUGUAUACAUAUACACAUAUGUGUGUAUGUAUAUAUAUCUUAUAUAUAUGAUAACAUGAUAUACAUGUGAGUAUGUAUGAAUAUGAUAAUGUCUAAUAUAUGAAAGAGAAAUCUCUGUCUCUGUCUCUGUCUCUCUGUCCUUCUGUCUGUCUGUCUGUCUGUCUGUCUGUCUGUCUCUCUCUCUCUCUCUCACACACACACACACACACACACACACACGCAUACGCACUCGCACAUGCACACACCCACACUCCAGAAGAUGUUACAGAGCCAUUUUGGAAGAGGAGAUUCAACUGAGACAAUGCCCCUACCAGACUGGCCUGCAAGCAAGCCUGUGGAAAACUUGUUUAAGCCAGCCAAAUAUGUGAUGAACACACAGCAUCAUUAAAGCCAAGUGACCUUUAAAAGGAAGAUGUUGAUCACAAUGCAGGACCCGGGUAUUCGUGGGUGCGAGGGGGACCGCAAACCUGAAGAGAAAUGAGCGAGAAAGAAGAGCGAGACCAAGCAAAGAGUUGUCAAGGUUUCUUCAUCAUUCUGGAUCCCAGAGGAGGGGACAGACACUGGGGUGACUAAAUCCCAUGAAUGACAAACUUUUGUGCUUAUAAAGCACUGAGCCUGGAUGGGAUGUUUGUUACUGUAACACAACCUGACAUUCCUAGCCGAUACACCAACUCCCCAGCAAGAGGGCUCAGAGCAUCGCCACAGGAUGGUGUGGAACAGGAGACUAGGAAACCAAGGAAGAGAGACAGACAUCUCCUGGGACAAUGAUCCGCCCCAGUGACCUACUUCUACUUAAGUUCUUCCAUCCCUUCCCCCUCCCUUUCACUAUGUACUCCAGACUUGUCUGGAACUCACAAUCCUCCUGCCUCCACCUCCCAAGACAGCAUAUGUGCCACACACCUGGUGUUC